rnacentral:rRNA from 1 species
AUUAGAUGAGCCUAUAUUAGAUUAGCUAGUUGGUGGAGUAAUAGCCUACCAAGGCAAUGAUCUAUAGCUGAUCUGAGAGGAUGAUCAGCCACACUGGAACUGAGAUACGGUCCAGACUCCUACGGGAGGCAGCAGUGGGGAAUAUUGGACAAUGGGCGAAAGCCUGAUCCAGCUAUGCCGCAUGAGUGAAGAAGGCCUUUGGGUUGUAAAGCUCUUUUAGUGAGGAAGAUAAUGACGGUACUCACAGAAGAAGUCCUGGCUAACUCCGUGCCAGCAGCCGCGGUAAUACGGAGAGGGCUAGCGUUAUUCGGAAUUAUUGGGCGUAAAGGGCGCGUASGCUGAUUAAUAAGUUAAAAGUGAAAUCCCGAGGCUUAACCUUGGAAUUGCUUUUAAAACUAUUAAUCUAGAGAUUGAAAGAGGAUAGAGGAAUUCCUGAUGUAGAGGUAAAAUUCGUAAAUAUUAGGAGGAACACCAGUGGCGAAGGCGUCUAUCUGGUUCAAAUCUGACGCUGAGGCGCGAAGGCGUGGGGAGCAAACAGGAUUAGAUACCCUGGUAGUCCACGCUAUAAACGAUGAAUGUUAAAUAUGGGAAG